CCUACGGGAGGCAGCAGUGGGGAAUAUUGGGCAAUGGGCGCAAGCCUGACCCAGCAACGCCGCGUGAAGGAAGAAGGCUUUCGGGUUGUAAACUUCUUUUCUGAGGGACGAAGAAAGUGACGGUACCUCAGGAAUAAGCCACGGCUAACUACGGGCCAGCAGCCGCGGUAAUACGUAGGUGGCAAGCGUUAUCCGGAUUUAUUGGGUGUAAAGGGCGUGUAGGCGGGAAAGCAAGUCAGAUGUGAAAACUCAGGGCUCAACCCUGGGCCUGCAGUUGAAACUGGUUUGCUUGAGUGCUGGAGAGGCAGUCGGAAUGCCGGGUGUAGCGGUGAAAUGCGUAGAUAUAAGGAGGAACACCAGUGGCGAAGGCGGAUUGCGGGACAGUAACUGACGCUGAGGCGCGAAAGCGUGGGGAGCAAACAGGAUUAGAUACCCGAGUAGUC
rnacentral:rRNA from 1 species